ensembl:lncRNA
UAACACUUUUUUUUUUGCUAAAACACAAGUUGCAAAAGAACUCUGCUCAUAUUCUCAAAUGAAAGCUCAUGUGAUGCAAAAUGCUUGCCACAGUCAGCAAUAUUUGAACACAAUGAACACACCUGGCGUCAUUCGUUACACACAACGACUCAAAAUUGAAGACACUUGUUGCUAAUGCUGUGACCACAUGUAUAAAAGCAAGUUCAGAGUGCACAGUUUGCUGAAGAUUCCAAACAAACACAAUGGAUGAAGGCAGAGUCAGGGGAAGAGGAAUUCGAGUCAGAGGAGGGAGAAGAGCUGGCCAUGGAAGAAGAGGAGCAGGCCAACGAGGAAGAGGAGUUCAAAUCAGAGGAGGAAGAGGAGCAGGCCAACAAGGGAGAGGAGUUCAAAUCAGAGGAGGAAGAGGAGCAGGCCAACAAGGGAGAGGAGAAGGUCCAGGAGGGAGAGCAAGACAACCUCGCACCAUCAUUACGGACGAGAUGCGAGCAACAGUCAUUGACCAUGUCAUUGUCCAUGGCAUGACAAUGGCUGAAGCAGGACUAUGAGUCCGUCCAAACCUGAGUAGGUUCACCGUGGCCACCAUUAUCAGGGCAUUCAGACAACACAACAGAGUUGAAAGAAUGCCACAUAGAGGUGGGAGGGUUGCCAUAUUUACAGCGGCACAAGAAACCCUCAUUGUGGAUAUGGUUCGUGAGAACAACCUCAUCAGACUCCGGGAGAUCCGAGACAAAGUCAUUGCCGAUAAUGUCAACUUUGAGAGCAUUGAUGAUGUCAGCUUGGCCACAAUAGACUGAGUUCUCAGGCGCCAAAAGAUGCGGAUGAAACAGGUCUAUAGGGUUCCCUUUGAGCGCAACUCUGCGCGACACAAAGACCUAAAGUUACGAGUAUGUGCAAGUACACAUCCAUGUUCACAGUACAGUUAGUGGGCAUACUGUGUUGCUCAGUGGCCUACAUUACUUCUGGACAAUACUGUGCUACCUGAUUGACUGUUGUUCUGAACACCUGUGCACUUUCACAUUUUCACAGAGGAUAUUACAGUUGGACGUGAUGGCCAGACCUCAUGAGUACCUCUUCCUGGAUGAGGCUGGCUUCAACCUGCAGAAACGAAGGCAAAGAGGCCGUAACGUCAUUGGCCAAAGAGCCAUCACUGAGGUUCCUGGCCAACGGGGGGGUAAUAUUACUCUUUGUGCGGCCAUGGGUUUGGAGGGGCUUGUCCACCGGCAUGCUGUCCUUGGGUCUUACAACACCCAACGUCUCCUCACCUUCCUAGAGGAGCUAAAAGACAUCCUUCUGGACCGCCAACAACACCAUCCUGGGCCCGCACAUCACAUUUAUGUGAUCAUUUGGGACCAUGUACGCUUCCACAAAACAAACCAAAUCAGAGAGUGGUUCACCACCAACAGUAACCACUUUUUAAACGUCUGUCUGCCACCCUACUCCCCUUUGCUGAACCCUAUAGACGAGUUCUUCUCAUUGUGGAGAUGGAAGGUUUAUGACAGACAACCAUACACUAGAGAGAACCUCCUAAGGGCAAUGGAGCUGGCCUGUGUUGACAUCCCAGUGGAGUCCUUCCAAGGAUGGAUUCGCCAUUCCAGGGCGUUUUUCCCACGGUGCCUGGCAAGAGACAAUAUAGCCUGCGAUGUGGAUGAGGUGAUGUGGCCCAUUGCAGCUCAGUGACAUGAUGCCGCACAGUGAUUGUGGUGUGAAUAAAGUAAAUUAAAAAAACUUCACACCCUGAUCAUGUUUUCAAGAGUACUGUUGUGUGCAAUAGAUUCUGUUUUUGCAUUGAGUUGUGUUACAGUAGUGUACAUGCAGAAUUUACUAUAGAUUUAUACUCUUCAUAUGAAACUCAGAAAUCUAAAUGCCUAAUCCUCUGCAGAGAUCUAAGAACAUCCAUUACUGUAAAAUUUCUAAAAAUAUGCAUUGGCAGUUAUGAAACAAAGAACCUUCUCACAAAUUGAGCAUUGUGUUUUCAAUUGU